CUUUUUUUAUCCUCAAGAUUUUGUUGAUCUUUUUGUCGCUGUUCGAUCAAUGCUUUUUGAGCUUUGGUCAAUUUUUCAUCAUAAAUUUUCUAAUAAAGUAAACAAAAAAGUUAUCAAUAUUUGAUCAAUGUCAUAUAUACCUUUUGGUUUAGAUCGAAUGGAUCGUUUAUCCUCUUCAUUGAUUUCAUCAUAUUGUGGAUGUGAAGAUUACAUACGUUAUAUAUCGCAUGUAUAAAACGAAUGCUUGUUCCAUAUUCAUUUCAUCAAGAUAAGUAUUGGCCAUUUGUAAUAAUUGAC